CCACCAAGGCUUUAAGCCAUGUGCCCCGACUCUGAGCUCCCAGUUUGAUGCCUACGGCCUGUCAGCCUUAUAGCCUGGCUUUACACCUUAACUGCUGAUGGAUGUCAUCUCUACGUAGCAGCCCCGAGCCUGGCUCUGAAUCCUGUCCCAAGGGGUUGGAAAGUGUGGGGUGUCUGAUUUAUCCCUUCAAUACAAAUAGUCCCUUCCAUCCUUCCCACACUUUUUCUCAGAGGCUCUCCUUCCUUCCCUGGCUCUUGGGUAGGCUGCCUGCUCUAGUGUACCUUCCUCCUGUGAUGGUUGCUCUGGCCAGGCCCCCAGCUGCUCCCUGCCCUGCUCUGAAGGCACAUCUCUCAGCCCACAGAGGUGUGGUUCAUGGGGGCAGGGGAGCAGAGGCAGUGCAUCCUGGGGGAACUGGUCUCUAGAACCUCACCUGACCUGCCCCGCACCUGCUCUUCCUCCCCCAGUGUCCUCCCCACCCCACUGUCCCCUCUCUGCCUGGGCUACACGUGGUGAGUUUCACUCUCAAGACAACCCUCUCACACACAACUCCUGUGCUGCCCUCACACCUUUGCAGGCUGCUGGUUUUCCAUCCAGGGCACAGCUGCAGGCCUCUGGGCACCCCAGCCCUCAGUGCCCAGGGCAUAGCCCUGACAUGCAUUCUCACUGGCAGGCAGCCUUAGGCAGGUCCGGGCAGAGGACUGAAAGGAGGAGAGGAGGGAGGGAGCUACAAGGGAGCAGACAGAAGACAAAUACCAGCUAAGAGUAAACAGCCUGGCAGUGGGGUGGGUGCCUGGCUGGAGGGGCUCGCCUGGGCUGGCCUGUCUGGGAGGAGCCAGGUCGGUGCUUGAGGGCUAGCAGCUGCUAGAGCUGCAUGUGGGGCUUGAGGUCUGGUGCUUAUGGGUUAGGAGGAAGAGAAGAAGAGAGAGAUGGCAGAGUACCAGGCAGCUUAGGAACAUGGCUCCUUCCACAUACUGUGGCCCAGGCGCUGCCCAGAGCUGUUUCACAACAGCCUCUGCACUCAAGGCUGAGCAGUUUCCUUCAGUGCUGUCCACCCCUUCGGUCCUGGGGCCUCACGUUUCUUGGGCUUCACUGACACCUGCAUGGGACUGGUGGGGAGGUGUGAGGGGUUGGAGGGGUCUCUUUGCUAGCCUUGGCCUGUGGCAAACACUAUCUUGAGAAUGUGGGACAUUGAAGGAGCUUGGGCUCUAAAGCCAGUUAUACUUGAGUCUUUUCACCUGCUGGCUGGGUGGCCCCAGACAAGCUGAUCAAGUCCAUCAGGCCUCAGCCUCCUUAUCUAUAAAAUGGGGCUAAUUUCCUUUUUUGCCCCUGGGAGGAAAUAUCACUCAGAGGAGUUACAGAAUGUGCAGCCUUUCCCAGGAGUAUUGCUCUUGAAGGAAUAAGGCACGAUGGGCUUUGACUUCAGCCUCCAGCACUGUGGCCCAGAAGGGUAUGGCUGGGGAAGGGGCGUCACAUCCCUGCGGCACUGUGGGGGUGACAGAGGGUGCUGUUCAUUCACCCUGCACACAGCUGUCAUGCUUACCCGGCCCUAGGCUCUGUGGCCUGAAACUGUUCUCCAGCUCUUUGGCUUGGGCCCCAAGACCAGAGGUGAUAGCAGCAGCCCGGAAACCUGAAUACUGGGGAACACAUUAUAGGGCCAUCUCCUAGAAAAAGCAGUGAGAAAUGGAUGGUAGCUGUAGCAUUCUUCCCUUUGGAUGCCUGUGUGGGUACAGAGUCAGUGGAAGGGAAAAUGGGGAAGAAAUGGGGAAGAAACACUGGCUCUGCCUCUCACCCCCUUCCCCACCUGCUUCCUGUUCUAUUAGAGAAACGUAGUUGCUGGAUGAGUUGGACAGUCAUCUGAGUUUCAUCAAGAUUUACAGGUGAUUCAAAUGUAUGUAUAAGGCACAUACAUAUUAGUAUGUCAAUCAAAGAGGAUUUUCUAAGCAACACAGUCUCCAGUUCCUCAGAGAAUUAGCAGUCUGGCUGAAAAUGGGGUGGGUUUGGACGACCUUGGACUUACAGAUGACCUCACUGGCUUCUCCCCAUGUCAUCUAUCUGCCUGCAUCUUUCUCUUGACUGAUCUUAAGUGAGUAGUUGGAGGGGUCAGAUCACCUCUGCUCAGCUCUGCUUAGCACGCUAAACCUAUCUGCUAUUAAAAUUUGAAAAACAAAUGCAGGUGCCAAAGGUGGCUAGAUGAUGAAUGUCCCAGGCCAAGUCUAGGAAGGGAAGUGGGUAUGGGGCAGCCCAUUGCCUUCCUGGUACCAGGAUGAUGCAAUGCUUGGAGACUGUGAGCUCCCCGCCUCCUUGGGGCACACCCUGUGACCCUGCGGGACCCCUCUGUCCAGCCCAGCUGGGGUGUGCAUCUUGUGCACUUGGUCGGCACUGAUAGGGGUCGCGGUGGGGAGGAGCUGUCAGCACACACUGAGGCAUGUCCUGUGAGCGGUCCUGGAGGCUGUGCCCAGCCUUCAGUGUCCAGGGCCUCUUCUGCCAGGCCCUGCCUGGUUAUCACUAUGGGCACUAUCUCCACUCACCACCUCUGUGCCCAGGGCUGCUGGGUCCCGUUGCAGAGCCACACACCCACCUACAUAGAGGCCCUUGCUGCUUGGAGUCUGGCUCAGUUCUCCCCUCCACACUCCCUUCUCCCAGCCCUGCUCAGAGUGAUGUCCUUCCUCAAAGACAAGAUCCCUGCUCUCAAAGGACUGCUCGGUGGGUCCCCUAUCUCCCCACCUCCACGGGCCUCUUGGAUCUUGUGCACAGCAAUCUCUGCAACACCCUGACUUUAUGGGGUCCUCCUCAGCCAAUGAAAUGGUGGGUCCAGGCUCGCCCUUCUAUCACCUGUGUCACUUCCAUCCUGAAGAGGAAGCCUGGUUCAUUGAGGACAAUGUGCAAGGUCCUUUUGAUCAUUCCUCUACUGGAUCAUCAGCAAAGCGAGAAACGAGACAAAAGAGGCCACUGGGUCCUUUGGGGGAAAUAUGUGCUGAUAGUAAGGUGAUGGUUCAGAGAAAGGGAAGAGUAGGAGGUUGGUCCUGAAGGCCUUCCAAAAAAAGUAAACGGUGUUAAAUUGCUCUGGAAGGUGCAAAGUGCCAUCCAGUGGAAGCUAUGGUGAUUAUUAUCAUCAUAAUGGUUAUUAUCAUCACCGUGAUAGGAUAUGGCACUGAGAUACGUAGUGACUGGUGAGUGCUGAAGGAGUUUCUCACUGAUUCCUGAUGUUAGGGGCCAUGAAUCUGUCCACGUGGAACGUUCUAAUUCAAUUCAGGAGCUGGGGUUUGAGUCCAGACUUCAAAGCACUCUCAUAUAUCCUUGGUCUGCAAACCUGAGGGUUAGUUUCUAGGGAUUGAUUGACUUGAAGUCAGUUUUUAUGUGCUUGAAUACUAGUUAUGCAUAUUCUGAAAAAUCUGACUUGAUCAAACAGAGCAGUUAAAAGCGAUGCUUCAUUUUACAAAAGAUUUUUUCCCUGCACUUUACAAAAGGAUGCAUGUGGUAUUCCUUUUGAUGGAAUAUUUCUCUAGCUCAUUAAGUGUUUACAGGUCAUUAACUACUGCAUGGAAGGACUUUGCUAGAGAAAAGGAAGGCUGCAAGGAAAUAGCUCCAGCUCUAGCUUAGGGGAUGCUAGCUAUAGGGAAUUAGAAUUGGCUGGCCAACAGGUGUCUGUGGCGUACUCCCUGUCCACGCAGCAGUGGGGGAGGAGUAGAGAGCUUGCUUCCUUCCAUGUGAGAACUUACAGACCCUUUGGAAUCCAGAUUUGUCAUGAAGUAAUCGUGAAGACAGAAAUUAAGUGCUAAGUUGUGCUCACUCCUCUCUUAUGACUGUCGUUGGGAAAAUGGGUCCUGCUUUACAAAAAUUCAGUUUGCAUGCUGCUUUUCAGGCCUAUGACUAUUGUAUCCAGUGAGGGAGAUUUGGGGAAGGGGUCGACCUAAGACUCCUCUUGGGAGCAGAAUGAGAGAGAAAGAGAGAGAGUGCACAUAAGAGCAAGACAGCAAGAGUGAUCAUAAUGGAACCCAGAGGGGGAAAGGCUGCCUGUUGACCGUCCUGGCGUAUAAGUCUGUGUGGUCAGGGUUUGCAGUCCAGAAAUCACCCAGGCCCCUGCUGGCUGCUGGGAGAGAAAGUCGGUAAGGAGAGAGGGGUGUACAAGACAGGAGAGAUGUACUCACCAGGCCCUUCCAGAAUGCGUAACUGGCUCAGAUCCUCGUCUCAAACCUGCAGCAAAGUGGAAGAUGGGUGUUAUCCUCCUCUCUUCCCUCUCUCCUGCUCCAGGCUGUUUUGAACUCACUUUUGCCGUGUGUCCAGAGCUGACCAAAGGACAAUGGCAGACCUACUGUCAGACUGGCAGCACCAGCCUAGUGUUCUGUCUCUGCCUGGGAAACAGUUGCACAAAGCUCCAGUUCUGCCCUGGACACUCGCCUCAUAGGGCUAGCCCCUUACCCCUCAGCAACACCACUGGGUUGGUCUGCUCCCACCCUGUCCCCCCCUGUGGCAGCCCAUGUUGCCUUGUGGGACAAGGCAUUCCGUAGAUGUGUGUAGGACUUCCGCUUUUUAAGUCAUGAUUUGUUUCUCUGACUUCCCGGACUUCCUGGUUCUGGUUUUCUGGGUUUUCAUGAACAAGUCCCUGUUUCCCUAAUCCAUUUCCUUCACAUGUGCAUUGCUUUCCAUCAUCUCCCCUCUUGUUAUCCUAAAAACCUUCAUCAUCAAUUGACUUUUCACAUAGGAGGGUGACCCUGGAUGCCUUCUCUUCUUUUUGUUCUCUUUUCCAGAUCUGCAGUAUAUUUCUUAGGUGUUUUAAAAAAAUAUGCUAAGAAAAGUGAAAAUGCCCUUGUAAUUUAGAGACUUUCAGAAAAAUGACAGUACCAUUUAAAGACUGGAAUUAGAAUUUGACUUCACUGUGCCUUCUCUGCCCCAGGCUCCCAUGGUGGCAAGGGGUUUGGAUUUGGGGAAGGGGUAUCAAAUUGCUUGUCUCUGAUCAGGAAGAGAAUUGGGGUUUGCCAGGUCCCUUUUAUGUGUAUGUGCAGAUUAAUGACCCAUUUGGAACAUUUUGACUUUUAGAGAGCUCCAAACUCUCAAACCACAGGGAUCACAACACAUGCAAGUGUCUAUGGUGACAUUAUAUGUAAGCAUCACAACAGACAGAGAAUAUCUGCACCCCACCCCAAAAACAGCCUGACUGUCCUCCAUGGCCAAACCAGACUUGUUUGUAGGGGAUUCUGCUCUGAGGCCCUGAUGGACCUUGGGUGCUAUCCCUGUGAUAAGGAAGGCAGCUAGACAGGACUUGGGAAUUAUCUGAAGUAAGACGGCUGAAAACAGAUACAGGGCUGGCUCUAUGCCCCAGGUGUGCAUAAGUAAGAGCAGAUAGCUGAUUCCAGUGCAAAGUCCAUACAGGUAAUAACAUUGGCCAGAAAAGAGAUAGGGCAUCCACUCUUAGACAUAACACACCAGGGUCAAUACAACUUUGAAGCUAGUCUAGUGCAAGCUAACAGUUGCUUUUAUCACAGGCGCCAGGAAGGGUUUGGCCUCUGAUUAGGGUGGGGGCAUGGGUGGGGUGGAAGAAGACUGGCAGACUUCUCGGUCAGUGGCCGUUUACCCAGAGGGGCCUCUUUCGGAAGGCUCUCUUGCUGGUGGAGAAUUGGAUUUUAUUUCUCGAUGGGAAUAAAAUGGAUUUGUAUGCCAUGCCGUGUGGACUCCCAAAAUUGUAAAGGAGGUGAAGGUUCCCUGUCUGCACUCUCCCCUCCUCACCGCUGUCCAUUUGUCAUGUGUCAGUCUGUCCACCCAUCCAUCCCAUAUAGACAUCUAUCAGGUACCAGCUACUGAGUUAGAGUCUAUGUUCCCAACCGACUUGCCUCCCUCCACAUCAUAUUCUCUUCCUUUCUCCUCUCCCUCUUCCCUUCUCUUCUGACCCAAACUGGGAACUCGGGAAAGGGCCUGAUAACCUUGUUUCUGCUGAGGUGUAACUAAUAAAUCCCAGGAGGCAUGCGUUUUAGUUCUCAAGCUCAGAGCACUUACUCUGCUCCAGGAACUUUACAAAUAUGCACUCAUUUUAUUUUCAUACCAACCCUAUGAAGCAGAUACUAUUAUUAUUCCUAUUUUACGGAUGAGUCCAUUUUUUAAAUUCUAGCUGAAGAAAGAACAUUUGGUGAUGAAUCAUUAGGAAUGAGCUAGGAGUUAUUUGUCAUCACAGAACCAGUCCAUAUUGCCCCCAGCCUGGCUUUGCCAAUUGGAGAUUAGGAAGAUGAAAUGAACACUUCUCCUCCCCUUUGAUAUCUCAUCUCACUGAGCUCUGGGCUGUUUCCACUCUUCUCUCCCCAUACUCCCAUCUUGGCAAAAAUUGCACAAGAUUUAUAAGACAUUAGGGUAUUAGAGAUAAUUUAUUCCAACCUCCUUGUUUACAGAGGGGCAACCCAGGUCCAGAGUGGGGAAGUGACCAGGUCAUUGUCACUGGCCAGUUUAGAGGCCAUGCACAGAUGAGAAGCCAAACUCCCAGCACCCAGCCCACGUCUUCCCACUCUCCCAUCUGGCAUGUCAGCAUCGUUCUCUCUCACUCCAGCUCAGCUAGUGUAACUCAAGGAUGAAUUUAUUGCCCCAGGCGUAAGAAUGUGCUCAGGUGUCUUAAGUAAUGUAGGCGUGCCUCACCCAUGGGCUUCACUGUCCCUCUCUGUUUAUUGUCAGUAGUGAUCUCUGUUUGGUUUUCUUCAGCUUCUCCCCCUUGCAUUGUUGUCUAAGAUGGCUGUCCUGUCUUUUGUCUACUUCCCCUCCACUUCCCGUGUCUUCCUUUAAUCAGCUUCUGCCACUGCCUUGGGCCACUCAGCUCUGGUCCCACUGGAGGCUCUGGCUCUCCCAGGGGUCCUUCUGCUUCCUGUUCACCUCUGGUCCCCCAGCCCUGCCCUGGCUCAGCUGAUGAGGAUGGGGGAAGGGGAGGCAGGGGGGGGAAUCUCAAUUUUCUGCACUGAUGCUUUGCUGUCCACAGCACUGGGCGGCAGCUGCCUCCCUGGAGUGUUGUGUGAGACCUUGGUGUUAUCUUUCUUCCCAAGGCCUUUUGCAAGGUAGUAGUCAUCUCGUGGACUCUAUGCUGCUCUUGGAGGUGGUCAACUAAGCCCGUCUCUGGGCUAGUGGGACUCUUAGGACUCUGAACACCAUAUUUAAUGGUUAUCUCUGACCCAGAGUCCAAUUCAUUUGGCCUGAGUUCAAAUGAAUGACCAUUUUAAGAAUGAUUUGGGGUCUCUUCCCAUUAUUUCCUUAGGGUAGUGGAGAGGUUUCUGUUUGGAAUAGGACGACAUUUGGUAGCUGAGCCAAACAGAUGGUGGGGAUACAGGCUUUGGAGUUGAACUCUCCGGGGAAUGGGGUGGGAGGGGUAGCCUGGAGGAUGACAAAAUGAGGGCUCCCUGGACUCUCAAACUCAAAACCUUUCUGUGUUCUUGAAAUGCCUUAGAUAUUUACCUGAGAGAAAUGUAGACAUAUGGUCCUAUAAACACAUCUACACGGUGUCCAUUGUAUUACUGUUCAUAAUGGUCAAAAAGUGGUCACAACCCACAUGGCAACCAAUAGGUGAAUGGAUAAACGGCUGUAUGGUGGAAUACAACUCAAGAGUAGAAACAUGAAAUAGUAACACACUCAACACCAUGGAUGAAUCCCAGAAUCAUUCUGCUCCGUGAAAGAAAUUAAACACAAAAAGCGACAUCUUGUCUGAGUCCAUUUACAUGAAAUUUUGGAAUUCUCAAAAUGAUAGUGUCAGGUGGGGGUUCAGUGAUUAUAAGGAUGGGGUCAGAGGGUUGGGGAGGGGAUCGACAGCAAAGGGGCA